rnacentral:rRNA from 1 species
AGCGAACGCUGGCGGCAGGCUUAACACAUGCAAGUCGAACGGGCGUAGCAAUACGUCAGUGGCAGACGGGUGAGUAACGCGUGGGAACGUACCUUUUGGUUCGGAACAACCCAGGGAAACUUGGGCUAAUACCGGAUAAGCCCUUACGGGGAAAGAUUUAUCGCCGAAAGAUCGGCCCGCGUCUGAUUAGCUAGUUGGUGAGGUAACGGCUCACCAAGGCGACGAUCAGUAGCUGGUCUGAGAGGAUGAUCAGCCACAUUGGGACUGAGACACGGCCCAAACUCCUACGGGAGGCAGCAGUGGGGAAUAUUGGACAAUGGGCGCAAGCCUGAUCCAGCCAUGCCGCGUGAGUGAUGAAGGCCCUAGGGUUGUAAAGCUCUUUUGUGCGGGAAGAUAAUGACGGUACCGCAAGAAUAAGCCCCGGCUAACUUCGUGCCAG